CGUAAAAAGCAAACCAAGAGUAAUCUUGGGACGCAAAACUAUAGGGUCUUACAUAAAAUAGAUAGCCAGUUGCCAA
rnacentral:ncRNA from 1 species